GCAGCAGCCGCGGUAAUACAGAGGGUGCGAGCGUUAAUCGGAUUUACUGGGCGUAAAGCGUGCGUAGGCGGCUUCUUAAGUCGGAUGUGAAAUCCCUGAGCUUAACUUAGGAAUUGCAUUCGAUACUGGGAAGCUAGAGUAUGGGAGAGGAUGGUAGAAUUCCAGGUGUAGCGGUGAAAUGCGUAGAGAUCUGGAGGAAUACCGAUGGCGAAGGCAGCCAUCUGGCCUAAUACUGACGCUGAGGUACGAAAGCAUGGGGAGCAAACAGGAUUAGAUACCCGUGUAGUCCCUGUCUCUUAUAA
rnacentral:rRNA from 1 species